UGUGUGAGUACAGCCGCCUUCACAAUAAUUGAGUGUGUCUACUCCUGUGCUCCCCUGCGGCUGAACGGAAGAAAGCGCAACUCAGGGGAGUACAGGAAAAAACCGGGCAUGUGUGAGAGCCCUAAAGGAAAUAUUCUGAUUAUGGGCAGCACCGUUAUAUGUCUAUUGCACCCAUGCCUGACCCCCCUCCUCGUGUUGUGUAUUGUAUUUGUGGUGCUGCAUUUGUGUGUGUAUUUCUGAUUGGAAAUAAAUACAGACUGCAACAGACGUCUAUGGGUGGUCAUUAAGUCGCAUAGUUAAUGAUUAAAAGGGGGGAUAUUUACAUUUAUAUCACUUGCUUAUGAACAAUAUAAUAGGGGGAAUGGCGUCCCACUUAUAGGGAGCUGCCAUAUUAUUUACUUCCAAUGAGCUAAGCCUGUAAAUAACUCUGUGCAUCUGUUAUUAAGAUAUAGAUAUACAUGCCUGUCUCUUUUACUGGGUCUGGUGUAUAUACAAAUAUUGUAUUUCUGUGCCCCACUUACUUCAUACUCAGGAGAGCACUAUGUGAGGCUGCUGAUUGGUUGUUGACCUGGCUGGGACCCUUAUGUAACUCCAGCUGUUGCUGAACUACAGCUCCCAGCAUUUCCUACUAACCAGGCGUGACAAGUGCCAGACAGCAGUUUGCAGUGUAUGGAAGUGCUGACGUACAGACGCUGGACAGACAAGUGCAGGAGCUGAAGUUGAGACAAAGGGAUGAGAAAGCUGCAAUGAGGCGAAUAGAGGAGGCGCCUGGCUCUGCCCUAGUCUAAUAAUGACACAAUCUUGGAACAUUUAGCCAGUGUCUCCUAUUUUGUGCAGCUGCUGAAAGUCUGCUGAAUGAUAAAUCUGCCCAAAUGCUGGAGCAGUCGGCACACGGCCUAGAGAAAGAAGUGCAAGGGACCAACAUCAGCAGCCCUGACACCCACAGGGAGUUUUAUCUCUAUGACCCCAGAACCCUGAUAUAGGACGUGGACCACCCAUCUUGUAGAGAAUCCAGCCCCAGGCAAAGCACCAGCUUUGUUAUGUCUGUAUAUGCCAGUGGAUACAUGAGUAUACAGGCUACAUUCAAUGAUGGGGAAUGGAGGGAGAUUCCCAGGAAUGACCAUUAGAAACAGAAUCUCCAACCAGUUAAUCCAGUGUGAGAAUGCUUGGUGGAGCAGCUGUACCCACAGGAGGACUGACACGUGUCACUCACAGAUGAAGGAGUAUCACAGAAGGCGACCACUCCAGCACCAACGGGAGGAAAGAAAAAAGAAUGAGAUCCUGAUAACCCGGCACAGCUCUCUCCAGAGCCAACUGAGAAUCACUGCAGACAGAUUUCCAGCAUGAGAUGCUCCAGCUACUGUUGAACUACAAAUCCCACAAUCCCUGGAUGUUGUUGGGAGAUAAGAAUCCCAGGCAGCAUAAAAGAAGAUGAUGAUGAUGAUUGGUUGAAGAAUGGGAUGGUAUAUUCCAUUGUGUCUCACAGCAGGGGGGGUCAUUGAUGGUAAUGUUCCAGCCAUGAGACGUCUAUUCCAUUUAUGAAACACAAAGGUGUGCCUACUCUUCCAUCUGCUGGCACGGUGCAUAGCCUUGCUUGUGAUGCUGCCACUGUUGUACCUCCACCUGUCACUACUAACACAUUCCAGGCCCCACAACCACAUCAUGAGCAGUGCCUUUCUAGGCAGCCUGGAGCUAAAGAGUAACACAAAUGCACUCACUUGCUGCACUUGACUUGUGUUGUCAUGGAAACAGUGGCAGUUUGUACAAACCAGGGAGGCCUUUCCCAGAUCACCCAUUGGAAGUGGUGUUGGGCUCUCAGAUCUCUCUCAGGAACACUCGUGGCAAACCUGUCCCUUUUUGGCUUCACUCGCACAAACACACGUACCCUGUGAGGUGACUAUUUACCCAGCAGCCUCAUUUGGGAGCACAUUGAAAAUCUAUUCUGCCAUCAGUUUGAAACUCAAUGAGAAUCCUCAUUGUCUCCUCCUGUUCUCACUUGCAGGGCAGUAUAAAUGACCCAGAUUUGCUAAACCACUGUAAUGUUGGCAAUACUUUCCCUUUAAAUGUGACAGGACUGCAGGCUUACAUAGAUCUUCUCUUU